rnacentral:lncRNA from 1 species
UAUACUCUGCUCUUCUCCCCCAAGGCCCUAACAUUCCACACACAUUCCAUGGUUGCCAGGAUGCCCUGCUUUAUUCAGCAUUACAUCACCAGAUGCUAGGAACAUAUCUGGAGUAGAGUGGACUUUUGUGAGAAGAAAUUCAGUAAACACAAUGCAUUUUAAUUGGGAAAAAAAUCAAGAAAUUACUUCAAAUGCCAGUAUUUGUACAAGAAAACUUGUUAAGAGUCUGCAGCAGUUCUCCUGAGAGCCCUUUACAAGCAUAUGGAGCAAGCCAUCCUUAGAGAAAGUGUGAAGAAGGAAGGGUAGCAGAGAAGAGGGGAAAAUGGGAACAAACCUCUGGAGCAUCUACACCCAAGGGCAGCCUUCAGACUUUAAAACCUAAUUAUAUAGACAGGCUUAGUAAAAACUUUUCAUAAAGUAUCAUAAAAGAGAAGCAGAAUCCUGCAGUGGAGGAAAGCAGAUGCCAGAAGAAAGUGGCCCUGUGCCCGAGUACCUGCCCGCCACACCCACCUGUGAUCUGGACAAGUUAUGUAACCUUUCAGAACCUAUUUCUUCUUCUGUAGACAAAUAGUAAUUGGAGAUUAAAAGAAAUAAGACUCUGAAGUUUGGCCCAGUGUAGUCACAGUCGAUUGCUAGUAAUAUUCAGAUUGAAUCCAGAGAAGUCAACUGCAGAGUUCAAUCGCGCAAUUGUGAUGAUACAAACGUAGCCUCCUUUAUGUUAAGGAUGGCGAUACUAGAUGGUCGUCUGAGGCGAUUGAGGCCUGCUCAUCACACUUGAGUGAGCUCGAAAGCUGACCCUUCAGUCCUGGUCAAGCCAGAUGAGAUGACUGCAGAGCUGGGAGACAGCUUGACUGCCGAGACCCUGGGCCAGAAUCGCUCAGCUAGGUGGCUCUAGGAUACGGGAACUUCAGAACCUGCACGAGAUAAGAAGUAUAUUAACCUGCUAAAUUUUGAUGAAUUUGUUCACAGCAAUAAAUAACAUACAGCUAGAGACUGAACGAGAACUAUUUUCUUGGCCAUACUAGUUAAGAAUAAGUAAAAAAGAACUUGAAGACUGAUGGUAGAAUUCACUUUGUG